rnacentral:rRNA from 1 species
UACGUAGGGGGCAAGCGUUGUCCGGAUUUAUUGGGCGUAAAGAGCGUGUAGGCGGCCAGGUAGGUCCGCUGUGAAAUCUCGAGGCUCAACUUCGAGCUGUCGGUGGAAACUAUCUGGCUAGAGUCCGGAAGAGGAGAAUGGAAUUCCUGGUGUAGCGGUGAAAUGCGCAGAUAUCAGGAAGAACACCCGUGGCGAAGGCGGUUCUCUGGGACGGUACUGACGCUGAGACGCGAAAGCGUGGGGAGCGAACAGG